UAUUUAUGUCUAUAUUAUUGUCUAUAUAUGGCUCUUUUGCGUACGUUAUGCGGCUGAGCAUUAAUCUUUAUACUACGAUUGCGAUUCCCGCCUGGUUCAUCACUUGCAAGUGGUAGUAUUACAGUAAACGUGGCAAAUAGUUGCUAGACUACCUGAAGCACAUAGGCCUAGACAUAGAUUUUUGCCUUCUCACACACAACUGAGUAGGUCUUAAAAAGUGUGUAAAUUUCCGUUAGUCGAAUAUUCCUGUCCAUCUACUAACACUUAUUAAUAAUAACUGAAGCACUUAGUCUUAUAGUGAUAUGGAUAGCUAAGGGGCGGACCAUUAGAAAUCCCGGGAGGGGGGGGGGUAUAAAAUUUUUGCGGCACGAAUUUUUUUUUCAGUCUCGUGUCUCUGCAGGAAUUUUUUUUAAUGCAUUUAACCUCUGCACGAAUUUUUUUUCAAGACUAUUUGUACUUCGCUGUUUGCUUGCACGAAUUUUUUUUCUCUGACGUAAUGGCUGCACGAAUUUUUUUUCCAGGCAUUUUCCUUUGCACGAAUUUUUUUGGGGGAAUUUUUACCCCCCCUCCCGGGAUUUCUAUGGUCCGCCCCUAACUAGAAUGUCU